rnacentral:rRNA from 1 species
GCUCAGAACGAACGCUGGCGGCAGGCUUAACACAUGCAAGUCGAACGCCCCGCAAGGGGAGUGGCAGACGGGUGAGUAACACGUGGGGAUCUGCCCAAUGGUACGGAAUAAUUCCGGGAAACUGGGACUAAUACCGUAUGUGCCCGCAAGGGGAAAGAUUUAUCGCCAUUGGAUGAACCCGCGUCGGAUUAGCUAGUUGGUGAGGUAAAGGCUCACCAAGGCGACGAUCCGUAGCUGGUCUGAGAGGAUGAUCAGCCACACUGGGACUGAGACACGGCCCAGACUCCUACGGGAGGCAGCAGUGGGGAAUAUUGGACAAUGGGCGCAAGCCUGAUCCAGCCAUGCCGCGUGAGUGAUGAAGGCCUUAGGGUUGUAAAGCUCUUUCGCCGACGAAGAUAAUGACGUA